UACGGAGGGUGCAAGCGUUAUCCGGAUUCACUGGGUUUAAAGGGUGCGUAGGUGGGCAGGUAAGUCAGUGGUGAAAUCUCCGAGCUUAACUCGGAAACUGCCAUUGAUACUAUCUGUCUUGAAUUAUCUGGAGGUGAGCGGAAUAUGUCAUGUAGCGGUGAAAUGCUUAGAUAUGACAUAGAACACCAAUUGCGAAGGCAGCUCACUACGGAUAUAUUGACACUGAGGCACGAAAGCGUGGGGAUCAAACAGGAUUAGAACCC
rnacentral:rRNA from 1 species